CCCAAGAUUAGGUCUCCCUGACAGUUUAACUGUCCUAAAGAUCCCUCGGAGACUACGAGGUUGAUAGGCACGGUGUGGAAGAGUAGUGAUACUUGAAGCUAACGUGUACUAAUUGAUCGUGAGGCUUGACCAUAUAACACCCAA
rnacentral:rRNA from 1 species